rnacentral:sRNA from 1 species
AGAGAUGAGAGCCUGGAGCAUUGCAGAUGCCAGGGACUUCACAAAUGAAGGCACCGCAUGGGAAACCUGCGUGGGUUCCAGGGCAGCCCAGCCUGCAGGGGCCCAGGGAGUGGUGCUCAGUACUGGGUGUACGACGGUGAAAAGCCAGUCCUGGGCCCCGCACCCCUCACCGAGCUGGGCCUGGUGAGGUUCCCGGUCCAUGCCGCCUUGGUCUGGGGUCCCGAGAAGAACAAGAUCUACUUCUUCCGAGGCAGGGACUACUGGCGUUUCCACCCCAGCACCCGGCGUGUAGACAGUCCCGUGCCCCGCAGGGCCACUGACUGGCGAGGGGUGCCCUCUGAGAUCGACGCUGCUUUCCAGGAUGCUGAUG